UACGUAGGGUGCAAGCGUUAAUCGGAAUUACUGGGCGUAAAGCGUGCGCAGGCGGUUAUGUAAGACAGGUGUGAAAUCCCCGGGCCUAACCCUGGGAACUGCAUUUGUGACUGCAUAGCUAGAGUACGGUAGAGGGGGAUGGAAUUCCGCGUGUAGCAGUGAAAUGCGUAGAUAUGCGGAGGAACACCGAUGGCGAAGGCAAUCCCCUGGACCUGUACUGACGCUCAUGCACGAAAGCGUGGGGAGCAAACGAGG
rnacentral:rRNA from 1 species